GGGCCCGUGGUCUAGCGGCUAUGACACCCGCCUGACACGCGGGGGGUCCCGGGUUCGAAAAAAGAAACGGAAAACCCG
rnacentral:tRNA from 1 species